AUUGAACGCUGGCGGAAGGCUUAACACAUGCAAGUCGAGCGAGCGGCGGACGGGUGAGUAAUGUCUGGGAAACUGCCUGAUGGAGGGGGAUAACUAAUGGAAACGGUAGCUAAUACCGCAUACCAUCAGAUUUGCCCAGAUGGGAUGAGCUAGUAGGUAGGGUAAUGGCUCACCGAGUCGACGAUCCCUAGCUGGUCUGAGAGGAUGACCAGCCACAGUGGAACUGAGAAACGGUCCAGACGCCUCCGGGAGGCAGCAGUGGGGAAUAUGGCACAAUGGGCGAAAGCCUGAUGCAGCCAUGCCGCGUGUGUGAAGAAGGCCUUCGGGUUGUAAAGCACUUUCAGCGAGGAGGCGUUACUCGCAGAAGAAGCACCGGCUAACUCCGUGCCAGCAGCCGCGGUAAUUC
rnacentral:rRNA from 1 species